rnacentral:rRNA from 1 species
UCCUCAGUAACGGCGAGUGAAGCGGGAACAGCUCAAUUUGAAAUCUGCUGCGUCUUGCGCGGUAGAAUUGUAGUUAAGAGAAGUGUUUUCCCCGGGAUGCUCUCUGGCCUAAGUUGCUUGGAACAGCACGUCAUAGAGGGUGAGAACCCCGUCUGUGGCUCGGAGAGCUCUUGGUACGAUGCACUUUCGACGAGUCGGGUUGUUUGGGAAUGCAGCCCUAACUGGGUGGUAAACUCCAUCUAAAGCUAAAUAUUGCCACGAGACCGAUAGCGAACAAGUACCGUGAGGGAAAGAUGAAAAGCACUUUGAAAAGAGAGUUAAAAGCACGUGAAGCCGUUGAAAGGGAAACGCGCUCGGCUAGCAAUGUGUCACGACGGUUCAGCCGGUUUGGCUGUGGAGGUUGCUGCUGUCGGAUCCGAACGGACCGCGGUGGUGAUCGUCCGCAGUCGAACUGCGGUGCACUCUGUCGUGGCACGCGUCAGCGUCGGUUCGCAGUUCAGGCGAUAAGGCACGGAGGGAAGGUAGCUCGGGGCUUGCCCUGAGCAUUAUAGCCACCUGUGCUGGGUCUGGUGCGGACCGAGGAGAGAGAGGAUCGCUGCAGUGCAUGCCGCAAGGCUAGCUGCCCGCUGUCAGGUUCGUUCCACAGGCUGAGGACUGCACGCAGUGUUCGGCUUGGCGGGGUGGCCAGGCGGUGGAGUGGUAUAAAUGCACUUAGGACGCUGGCGUCCAAAUGGCCGUGCGCGACCCGUCUUGAAACACGGACCAAGGAGUCUAACAUGUGCGCGAGUCUUUGGGUGUGAAAACCCGUGGGCACAAUGAAA